CAGGCAGCAACCAAAGUUCAAGUUUAAUGGACUCCUGCUACAACUGCUGGUAGAAGCAGUGCUCCAGUUGCUGGAAGGGGAAACACAAAUGUUACCACAGCGGGUCAUGGAAAGGAUGGUGAGCAGGUACACACCUUCUUCUGCUUCUUGGUCCCCACCUGUUGGGACCCAGAACCAUAAAGAGAUCAUGGACUUAGGGUGUCUGCUGACUCUGGGAGGUGGUGCCCCACCCUGGCCAAGCUUCGUCUCCAAACUGACUCCGCUGGGAGCCUUAUUGAGCCUGUUCAGCUAUUCUGUUAGGCCACCAGCUUCCAGGUGACAUGAGAACAAAGCCCAGAGGUAGCCCAGUCACAUGUCCAGUGCCACCCUUCUUUGAUAUAAAGCACGUCCUCUGGCCUAAUGGGAUAUUGCAGAGUAUUUGCUGAAGGUAUCUGAUUGUCCUGCUGGGUGAGGCUUUGCAGGUAGGGAAGUCAAACCACAGGUAGAAUGUAAGUGAGCUCCCUCCUAGGAAAGGGAUCCAAUGCAAUCAACUUGACAUCAAGUGGCUUGCUGGUCUACCUGAGGGUUGGUGCUAUACACUUUGCAUAAGGUUGGCUUUGGGCGAGGACACAAGUAAAUCUCAUCCCUGCAACUGCGGCUAUUGCAUUUGUGCACCCAGAGUGCCUACACCAGGAAGGUCCAUGUCAGAGGACAGCUGCUGCCAACCGGUGCAUCCUGCUACCUAACAGGCUGUUUACUUCCUGUGGCGUGGUGAACACCCAGCGGUUGGUGUUACCAGAUGACGGAGAUAUAACACUCCAUGCCCGUUCCCUAGAUCCACCCAGCUGUCUCCUCGCCUCCUUCCUUCUACCCAGUCUUCCAAUCCGUCUCCUUGAGACUCCUGAUCAACAAGCCAGCCACCCAACAUUGCCCACAGAGUCCUGCAUAUUCUUACAUGGAGCUGCUUCUUUCUCCACCCCAGGCAGACUUCCAAGUAAACUACUUAGAACUCAGGCCACUGGAGUACUGCUGCCCUGCCCCGGCUUGGGGGCCACCCUGAGAUGCUGUGGUGUAGCCGUCCAUGUUGUGCCUGAAUCCACACGCCAUAAAAUACAAGUGAUACAUGGAGGAAGCGGAAGAGAGAAUAACCAAGAUUGAUUGGAUUUUUUUUUCUGACCACAGCCCUGCUCUUCAAAGAAAAAUACAGGCUAUAAUGAAAUGGGGACAAUAUUGUUGAAAUCUAUUAAGGUGCUUUCCACUCCUGCAUGCGUUUGUGCUGGCCUCCCCCCAAGUCUGCCGGAGGUAUUCAAUUACUCAGGAUAUUUAGGGUUGCUACCCUAUGAAAAGGAGAAAAGAUUCA
rnacentral:lncRNA from 1 species